rnacentral:piRNA from 1 species
UUCCAAAGAGCCUGGGACUAGGUCAUUGU